rnacentral:lncRNA from 1 species
CCUUUUUUUAUUUAUAAUUAGUUGUUUGAAAAAAUGGGCAGCUCUAAAUUUUUGAAUUCUAAUGCUUUGUAAGUGUAUGAGUAUAUAUGUCAACAGUUUUAGCUGUGGGUCAUGUUCACAUUUAAGCUUUUAUUUUUUAUGAAUUAUUAUUUUGAGCAUCUGUGUUCCUAAAGUUUUGAAUUUCGAAGGGUGUUUCGAGUGUAAAUAAGGGUUCUAAGGAACAUAACAAAGGAUCCACCAAAGACCCAUUUGAGUGAGUUUACCAGACAUAUAAUUAUAUGUUUCUUUUGUGCAUAAUGAAUUGGUCGAUUUUUUGUUAAUUCGAUGUUUAUAAGCACUUUUUUGUGGUGUGCAUGCACGCACCUUCACUUUUGAUUUCAAUUGUAUUCCAUAAUAAUAGAAUUCAUAAAUUAAAAAAAAAAAUAAAAUUAUACCUUCCAAGGGUUUAGAUGUUGAAGGGGGAUUUUGAGCUUAGAAUAUCAUUACAUUUUUUAAGAUUAACUUUCCGCACGGGGAAUAAGGUUGUUUAUGCUGAGAGCCAUCAACUAUACAAAUGGAGAUAAAAGUGGGAACAAUGAACUGAAUGAACUAUAUGGUUGGUGACUGUAAUCUAAGAAAUGAGUAAAUAACCAAUUGUUCUCAAGGGACAAAAAAAAAAUGUCUUACAUGUUUACUAAAAACUCAUAUCAAGUGGUUAGAUUUUACUUAAUCCAUGCCAUGUAUCUGGUAUACUGUACUCAAUAACUUAUUACCUCAGAUUAACUCUAUUAUUAUUAUUAUUAUUAUUUUUUUUUUUUUUAUUGCAACACUAGGUUUGUUAUGGACUCUGGUAACAUCAGCUUUUUGAUUGUUCUCAUACCAAUUAGAUAAGAUGUAAACACGGGAUGGUAACCAGCUUGCCAUAAUUGAAUGCAAGUGAUAUUUCUAGGACCAUAAGUAAUUUACUUAAAUUGUUAUAUAAUUGCUUUGGGGAUGUUUUUCUUUGUCAUUAGUUGUAAAGAGAAAGAUUGUUCAAGUAAUUCACUUAAAUGGUCACAUAGUUUUCGUCCUGGAAUUGUAAAGAACUAAUGAGUUGCCAUGGAUUUUUGAAUUAAAUUGUUUAAUUAUGAUGGCUGAAGUAAUCCAGGCUUAAAACAAGUACUUGGUUAUGCUUCACAAUGUUUCUAUGUUUUCCAACCUAAACAAUUUUGACAUAGACUAGGGAAAAAAUUGAACUGCUUCUAAAAACCAUGCCAAUUAAUAUUUCAGCCAUUAAAUGAAGGUUAUGUUGGGAAAAAAAGAGACAUAAAAGGAUAUAUGAUGCUUUCCUAUGAUUAAUAUGUUCGAGUUAGAUACUCAUUUCUUUUUCUGAAAAGGAGCAUGGAGCUUUGGGAUCUAGCUAUAAAAGCUACUCAGAAAUGGAGCUUCCUCCACUGGAUGUUGUCUUUGUUCAUGGUCUGUGUGGGGGUCCCUUCAAAAAUUAGCAGUUAUCUGAGGACAAGUCAUCAACAAAGUCUGGCCUUGUAGAGAAGAUUGAUGAAGAGGCAAGGAAACAAGGAACAUUUUGGCCUAGGAGUGACUUUCAGCUGACUUUUCUCAUACUUGCUUGUUUGGUCUCAAAUACAAGAUUAGUAUAGUUUGGUCUCUGCUAUUAUAGAACAUUGCAUAACACUAUACAUCUCUUGAUUUAAUAAUUUAGCAUUUGACUUUAUCUGCUUCCAUUUGAAUUUGGAAGCAGAUUUCAAGUUCAAUUUCUGAUAUAUGAAUUAAGAGGUCUUUCAGUAGAUUUUUUCUUUUCUUUUCUCAUGUUUUCACUUGUGAUUUACUGUUCAACGCAGACAAAUCUUACUUAGUAGUCUGGAGCAAUCCUACCUCUACAGGUUUGUAAAUCUUUAACUCCU